CCUACGGGCGGCAGCAGUGGGGAAUAUUGGGCAAUGGGCGCAAGCCUGACCCAGCAACGCCGCGUGAAGGAAGAAGGCUUUCGGGUUGUAAACUUCUUUUCUCAGGGACGAAGAAAGUGACGGUACCUGAGGAAUGAGCCACGGCUAACUACGUGCCAGCAGCCGCGGUAAGCCGUCGGUUGCAAGCGUUAUCCGGAUUUACUGAGUGUAAAGGGCGUGUAGGCGGGAAAGCAAGUCAGAUGUGAAAACCAUGGGCUCAACCUGUGGCCUGCAUUUGAAACUGGUUUUCUUGAGUACUGGAGAGGCAGACGGAAUUCGUCGUGUAGCGGUGAAAUGCGUAGAUAUGAGGAGGAACACCAGUGGCGAAGGCGGUCUGCUGGACAGCAACUGACGCUGAGGCGCGAAAGCGUGGGUAUCGAACAGGAUUAGAUACCCCUGUAGUC
rnacentral:rRNA from 1 species